rnacentral:rRNA from 1 species
AUUGAACGCUGGCGGCAGGCUUAACACAUGCAAGUCGAGCGGAGAUGAGGUGCUUGCACCUUAUCUUAGCGGCGGACGGGUGAGUAAUGCUUAGGAAUCUGCCUAUUAGUGGGGGACAACAUUCCGAAAGGAAUGCUAAUACCGCAUACGCCCUACGGAGGAAAGCAGGGGAUCUUCGGACCUUGCGCUAAUAGAUGAGCCUAAGUCGGAUUAGCUAGUUGGUGGGGUAAAGGCCUACCAAGGCGACGAUCUGUAGCGGGUCUGAGAGGAUGAUCCGCCACACUGGGACUGAGACACGGCCCAGACUCCUACGGGAGGCAGCAGUGGGGAAUAUUGGACAAUGGGCGGAAGCCUGAUCCAGCCAUGCCGCGUGUGUGAAGAAGGCCUUUUGGUUGUAAAGCAUUUUAAGCGAGGAGGAGGCUACCUGGAUUAAUACUCUAGGAUAGUGGACGUUACUCGCAGAAUAAGCACCGGCUAACUCUGUGCCAGCCGCCGCUGUAACAC